AACGAACGCUGUCGGCAUGCCUAACACAUGCAAGUCGAACGAGACCUUCGGGUCUAGUGGCGCACGGGUGCGUAACGCGUGGGAACCUGCCCUUAGGUUCGGAAUAACUCCCCGAAAGGGGUGCUAAUACCGGAUAAUGUCUUCGGACCAAAGAUUUAUCGCCUUUGGAUGUGCCCGCGUUGGAUUAGCUAGUUGGUAGGGUAAAAGCCUACCAAGGCGACGAUCCAUAGCUGGUCUGAGAGGAUGAUCAGCCACACUGGGACUGAGACACGGCCCAGACUCCUACGGGAGGCAGAAGUGGGGAAUAUUGGACAAUGGGCGAAAGCCUGAUCCAGCCAUGCCGCGUGAGUGAUGAAGGCCUUAGGGUUGUAAAGCUCUUUUACACGGGAUGAUAAUGACAGUACCGGGAGAAUAAGCUCCGGCUAACUCCGUG
rnacentral:rRNA from 1 species